AUAAGAUGUAAAAAACAAUUUUUAAAAGGUACAAAAUAUGUGCCUAUAUGAACACCUAAGAAUGUGAAAAUAAAUUUGCUAUUACAUGCAAAAUUGGUGUCUUCAGCAGGCUAGAAAUCAAUUUCAUCUCCAUCACACAAAACUCAUUUGCGUUUCUCUGAAGAGGAGCUAUUUGCAUCACCAUCAUCGCUUCACAAAUUAUCUCCACAGUGAUGCAAAAUAGUUAAAGAGAAUGAAAGGCACACAUCCUUAUGGAAUCCCAUAACCCCAGAAGUGUCCUUGAGAUAAUGCUCAACAUCCCAUCGCAAAGAUCAUAUACCUACAAGUAUGCAAAAGAAAAUAAACUAAAAUUUAUCUACUCAGAGAAAAAACUAUCUUGGGACAUUUUCUUAAAGAAAACAAGUUACAGUGAAGGUGUUAAGAAAAUGGGAUAAUAGAAUGAGUGAGCUUCAGCUGCUGCCCAGGAAUCCUGUGUCAUGCAAAGUGGUGGAUAAUAAAUGAAUAGUGGUAAGACACUGAGAUGUUUAUCUCCCCUACUUUCUACUUUCUCUUUUGCAACUAGACAUCCCCUUGGAUAUAACUGCAGGUGACAGUAAGAUGAGAUUCAGGUACAAGUAGCAAAACUCCAGCGAGUUGUAGAGGAAGUUGGGGGGAGGAGAUAUUUUCUGGCGUUUUGACAGAUAACAAAAGGGUUAUAUUAACCAAAUGCCAUUGGUCAAAAAGCAGGUAGACUACAUUCAACCAAUGUAUCAUAUUUGCAAAAUAAGGAGAAAUAGUAAACACUGUGUAUUCUUAAACACUAGUUUUUUAAUGAUUUCUUUUAAAAUUGGUAAAUCUAUUUUUUUGUUUUUAAUAUAUUUGGAUUGUAUACUCAUCAAGUAAAGUUCUCAUAAUCCAAAAUCAUUGACAAUUUAUUAGAAGAUAUGGACAAGGAUAGGGACAGCUUCCCAAACCAAAUAUGUAAAAUUCAACAAUGUUGUUUGACAGUUCAGCCAUUUGGAAUAAAACAAAUCAUGCUAUGGUUAUAAUGUACGUACAAUAACAGGGGGUAUGAAGAGACCUGCCUCUUUAUGUGUCAAUUACCCUGAAAUUCCACCAUUGGAAAAAUAAGUAUCCAUUUUCAUAUUAUCUGUUUUUAAAAAUGAAGUGAAAUGGUUAUGUUGGUGUAUUUCUUUUAUUUUAUAAUAAUUUUUAAAAUAUAAUAAGAUAAAUACCCCUUUUUGUAUAUUUCAGAAUUGUAUUUAGUUUUUUGGGCAUUUAUUUUUCCGUAUGAAUUCCAACAUAGUUUGUCAUAUUUUGUGAAAGAAAAAUCUAGUUAUGAUAUUGAUUGUAAGCAUAUUGACCUUGUAGAUUAAUUAUGAGAGUACUGACAUUGUUUUCCUUAUCCAUCUUUCCAUUUACUUGCUCAGUUUAUUAAGGUAUUUUUCUAUUAAUUUUUAUUUAUCUUUG
rnacentral:lncRNA from 1 species